rnacentral:lncRNA from 10 species
GUAUUCAUCAGCAGAGACCAGACUCCUCCAUCAAGACUCGGCUGAUCCCACCCCACCUGAUUCACCUGGCUUCGUUCUUCCAUAUCCCCUGCCACACCCCACCCUCCCGCUGCUCGGCCAUCCCUGAUCAGGCCAGGCUCGUUUACCCCUCACGGCCAGGCUAAGGAUAUUCCAGCCCAGAAUAUCCUCCAUCUCUCCAGGCCACCUUUCCAGGUAGACAUGGGCAUUUCUGCCCCACACGCUUAUGGCACCUGGCUGAGCCCUCCUUCAUGUACCUGAUGCUAAAUCAAUCCUUCCUGUCUGCCCCGUUUGCCUGAGACCUUCUGUGUUCUGACCCCUAGCAAAUGUCCACUAAAUUCAAUUAAAUCAUCAACUUUUUUCUCCCCCACCCCCUACCCCCAUCCAAGGCCAACGUUUCUCCCUGUGCUCAGAGUGAUCACCCCUCCAGCCCAAGCAAAGAGCAUGUUCCACCACCUCACAAGAGAAUCUCCCCCUCCUUCCCUGCCCAUCAGCCAGAAAUAUGCUCAAGUCUCUACCCCAUCCACCCCCACCAGAAAUACAGAGAGGAAUAAGGAAAGGGGGACACAGGGAAGGCAGGCAGGCAGGCAGGCAGGCAGGCAGGCAGGCAGGCAGGCAGGCGGGCAGGUAGGCAGGCGGGAGGGCGAAGGGGGAGGGAGGGAGAGAGGGAAGGAAGGAGAAAUGAAAAAGUAGGGCCUUCUCUCCCGACUGCCUUCCCUUGGAGUUAAGCCCAGUUUCCCCUGGUGCCACACAGUCUCAACGGCAACCACCUGACUUCUGUGUCCCAGAGUAAACAUGCAGAGGGGUUUGAGGGGAGAAGGAGAGGACUCCACAUGCUGAGCUUCCUGAGUCCCUCUUUCCUACCCAAACUUCCAAAUCUCACCAAAACAGCAUGCACAAAGGGUAAAAGGAGAGUGAUCAAAUAAGGUCAGGUGGGGUAAGGGCAGGAAGAUGGGUCAUGGUGAAGGCCAACUAUGCCUCAGCCUUCCUGGGUUCAAAGAGCCUUCCCUUCUGCUCUCAUCUUCCAGAAAGCUUCGGGGGAAAGAGUGGGCAAAGUGUUCUGGACAGAGAGAGAGAAGUCCUGGGCCCGACCUGCCUUCAUCCCUCUUCUCAGGCUGCCCUGUAACUCUGGGGAGGUGGGUGAGUGCCCUCCCCAUGAAGCUGGAGCCACUCUGGACCAGACUGCUGUCUGAUUCUCUUCUGCAGUGUCCUAGGAACCAGCAAGGUGCCUGGCACACAGUAGGUGCACAAUCAAUUUUUGAGAAAUAUAUGCAUCAAUGCCGUUUACUAACAAUGACUUUGGAAAAUCACUUUUUCUCUUCAAACUUCAAUACUCUCAACUGAAAAGCACUGAGCAUAAUCCCUACCCUUUAAAGCUAUUGCAUACAAUAAGUACAUACAAAAUCACUUUGUCUGGCCAGGCACAGUGGCUCAUGCCUGUAAUCCCAGGACUUUGGGAGGCCGAGGCGGGCAGAUCACUUGAGGCCAGGAGUUUGAGAACAGCCUGGCAACAUGGUGAAACCUCCUGUACAAACAUUACAAAAAUUAGCUAGGCGUGGUGGCACACACCUGUAGUCCCAGCUACUUGGAAGCCUGAGGUGAGAGGAUUGCUUGAGCCCAGGAGGUCAAGGCUGCAGUGAGCCAACAUUGCACCACUGCACUCCACCCUGGGUGACAGAGCAAGACUCUGUCUCAAAAAAACAAAAAACAAACAAACAAACCAUCACUUUGUCCAUUUUAAAGAUAUUCCAAGAAUAUAAUAAUUUAUUACUGUCGUUACAGAGGAUAGACAUUUAUGAUUUCCAUUUCAGAUUUCUGGACAAAGAAUAUGCCUUUUAGCUUCAAAUACUAAAAAUGCAGUAUGCGUGCUGGAGCAUUUAGGAGAAGGUAUACUCAUGGCUGCCAUUUCCUUUGAACUUUAUCAAAAAUGAAAGAUAAUUAACAGAUGGAUAGACAGAUAGGUAGAAAGAUAGGUCAUAAAGCAGGAAGAGUAAACCAUUAGUGGUACAGGUUGAGCUUCCCUUAUCUGAAAAUCUAAAAUCCAAAUGCUCCAAAAUCUAAAACUUUUUGAGCACCGACAUGAUGCCACAAGUGGAAAAUGCCACACCUCACUUCAUGUGAUGGGUGGCAGUCAAAACUUUGCUAAUGCACAAAAUUAUUUAAAAUAUUGUAGAAAAUUACCUUUAGGCUGUGUGUAUACGGCAUGUAUGAAACAUAAAUGAAUUUCACGUUUAGACUUGGGUCCCAUCCCUAAGAUACCUCAUUAUAUAUAUCCACAUAUUCCAAAGUCUGAAAAAAAAAUCCCAAAUCCAAGACAAUUCUAAUCUUAAGCAUUUCAGACAAGAGAGACUCAACCUGUAUAAUCUGAGUAGUGGGUAUAUAGGUAUACACUGUAAAAUUCUUUCAACUUUGCUAUAUGUUUGAAAUUUUUGUAAUAAAAUACCAGGGAAAGAAACUUAAAAGGAAAAAUAAACUUCUGCCAAAUCAGACAAGAAGUUUCUCAUGAGUUCCUUUCAUGGAGUUAUCAGAUCCUGGCCCAUUUUAUUAAUUAAUGUACUGACUCAUCAUUUAACAAAUAUUCACUGAGUUCCUUCUAUGCCUGCCAGCAAGACACCAGAGCUGGAAAGUAGAAAAGUUCUGUAUGAACUUUUGAAGCUGCCUGGAAAAAAAUCAGGGAAGACUCCCUAUUUAAGCAGCGCUAUAGAUGGGUGAAUAGGAGUUUUCCAAACAAAAACUGUGGGGAAGAUGUUUCAAGAACAAAUCAUAGGCCAGGCAUGGUGGCUUACCCCAGUAAUCCCAGCACUUUGGGAGGCUGAGGCAGGCAGAUCACUUGAGGUCAGGAGUUUGAGACCAGCC